rnacentral:rRNA from 1 species
GACGAACCGUCCAAACGUUGUUCGGAAUCACUGGGCUUAAAGGGCGCGUAGGCGGGCUGCCAAGUCCGGGGUGAAAUCCUCCCGCUUAACGGGAGAACUGCCUCGAUACUGGAAGUCUCGAGGAGGGUAGGGGCACGCGGAACUGUGGGUGGAGCGGUGAAAUGCGUUGAUAUCCAUAGGAACUCCGGUGGCGAAGGCGGCGUGCUGGACCCUUUCUGACGCUGAGGCGCGAAAGCCAGGGGAGCAAACGGG